rnacentral:rRNA from 1 species
AGAGGUGGCGAGCGUUGUUCGGAAUUACUGGGCGUAAAGGGCGCGUAGGGGCCUUCUAAGUCGGACGUGAAAGCCCCAGGCUUAACCUGGGAACUGCGUCCGAUACUGGGAGGCUUGGAUUCGGGAGAGGGAUGUGGAAUUCCAGGUGUAGCGGUGAAAUGCGUAGAUAUCUGGAGGAACACCGGUGGCGAAGGCGGCAUCCUGGACCGAGAUCGACGCUGAGGCGCGAAAGCUAGGGGAGCAAACGGGAUUAGAUACCCCGGUAGUCCUAGCCCUAAACGAUGAAUGCUUGGUGUGGCGGGUAUCGAUCCCUGCCGUGCCGAAGCUAACGCAUUAAGCAUUCCGCCUGGGGAGUACGGUCGCAAGGCUG